GUGGGGAAUAUUGGACAAUGGGCGAAAGCCUGAUCCAGCCAUGCCGCGUGUGUGAAGAAGGUCUUCGGAUUGUAUAGCACUUUAAGUUGGGAGGAAGGGCAGUAAAUUAAUACCUUGUUGUUUUGAUGUUACCGACAGAAUAAGCACCGGCUAACUUCGUGCCAGCAGCCGCGGUAAUACGAAGGGUGCAAGCGUUAAUCGGAAUUACUGGGCGUAAAGCGCGCGUAGGUGGUUCAGUAAGUUGGAAGUGAAAUCCCCGGGCUCAACCUGGGAACUGCUUUCAAAACUGCUGAGCUAGAGUACGGUAGAGGGUGGUGGAAUUUCCUGUGUAGCGGUGAAAUGCGUAGAUAUAGGAAGGAACACCAGUGGCGAAGGCGACUACCUGGACUGAUACUGACACUGAGGUGCGAAAGCGUGGGGAGCAAACAGGAUUAGAAACCCCAGUAGUCC
rnacentral:rRNA from 1 species